AAUACUAUCGGCUCCGCUUGUUUUCUUGCAACUCACGAGAGUUAUGCAUUGAAACCAAAAGAGAAGAUGACAGGUAGUUUUUCCUUGAUUUGAAACCGUAACUCUUCCACACUCUUGCAAGUUACAACUCACCGGACUUCUUGCUCUCUCCCUUUUUCGGGAUCAAUCGACCGUUCUCCGCCGACUCCUUAUUCUCUCUCCUCCCUGAGUCACCGGCGACAGACCACCACUGUUUUCCACUCCGUCGACUCCACAACGAAGAUAUGCAGCCUUCUUUUAUUUGCACACAACGACUUCUUUCUGCAUUCUUUCCUCCCAAGCGACGAAAUCGGCUACCCAACGACAAUAUCCGGCGAUUAACCCAAUCCAAGGAACCGGUGGUGGUGAAGCUCCACCGACCUAGUGACUGUCUCACCCUUCCACCGCCUAGUGUUACCGCCUGUGGCCACCACCAGCCACCACUGGAUUACCUGCUUCUUUGACUAGCCAAAAAAACGGAACAUCACAAGAACAAAAUGUUAGGUUUUUUUUUUCUAAUUUUUAUUGAAAUUGAAUUUGAAUUGUGUUGAAAUUGUUUGUUGUUUGUAUAUAUAUAUAUAUAUAUAUAUAUGUGUGUGUGUGUG